rnacentral:rRNA from 1 species
AGAGUUUGAUCAUGGCUCAGAACGUACGCUGGCGGCACGCCUAACACAUGCAAGUCGAACGAAGUAGCAAUACUUAGUGGCAGACGGGUGAGUAACAUGUAGGUAUCUGCCCUUUGGCCUGGAAUAACACGAGGAAACUUGUGCUAAUACCGGAUAAGUCUUUACGGAGAAAGCUUUAUGCACCAUUGGAUGAGCCUGCACUUGAUUAGUUUGUUGGUGGGGUAAUGGCCUACCAAGACUGUGAUCAAUAGCUGAUUUGAGAGGAUGAUCAGCCACAUUGGGACUGAGACACGGCCCAAACUCCUACGGGAGGCAGCAGUGGGGAAUCUUGCACAAUGGAGGAAACUCUGAUGCAGCGAUGCCGCGUGAGUGAAGAAGGCCUUUGGGUUGUAAAGCUCUUUCGUCGGGGAAGAAAAUGACUGUACCCGAAUAAGAAGGUCCGGCUAACUUCGUGCCAGCAGCCGCGGUAAUACGAAGGGACCUAGCGUAGUUCGGAAUUACUGGGCUUAAAGAGUUCGUAGGUGGUUGAAAAAGUUGGUGGUGAAAUCCCAGAGCUUAACUCUGGAACUGCCAUCAAAACUUUUCAGCUAGAGUAUGAUAGAGGAAAGCAGAAUUUCUAGUGUAGAGGUGAAAUUCGUAGAUAUUAGAAAGAAUACCAAUUGCGAAGGCAGCUUUCUGGAUCAUUACUGACACUGAGGAACGAAAGCAUGGGUAGCGAAGAGGAUUAGAUACCCUCGUAGUCCAUGCCGUAAACGAUGUGUGUUAGACGUUGGAAAUUUAUUUUCAGUGUCGCAGCGAAAGCGAUAAACACACCGCCUGGGGAGUACGACCGCAAGGUUAAAACUCAAAUGAAUUGACGGGGACCCGCACAAGUAGUGGAGCAUGUGGUUUAAUUCGAAGAUACGCGCAGAACCUUACCAACACUUGACAUGUUCGUCGCGACUUUAAGAGAUUAAAGUUUUCGGUUCGGCCGGACGAAACACAGGUGCUGCAUGGCUGUCGUCAGCUCGUGUCGUGAGAUGUUGGGUUAAGUCCCGCAACGAGCGCAACCCUCACUUUUAGUUGCCAUCAUUAAGUUGGGCACUCUGAAAGAACUGCCAGUGAUAAGCUGGAGGAAGGUGGGGAUGACGUCAAGUCCUCAUGGCCCUUACGUGUUGGGCUACACACGUGCUACAAUGGUAUCUACAACAGGAAGCAAAACGGCGACGUUAAGCAAAUCCUUAAAAGAUACCUCAGUUCGGAUUGCACUCUGCAACUCGAGUGCAUGAAGCUGGAAUUACUAGUAAUCGUGGAUCAGCGUGCCACGGUGAAUGCGUUCCCGGGUCUUGUACACACCGCCCGUCACACCAUGGGAGUUGGUUCUACCUUAAGGCAAGGUUUAAAACCCUUGACCACGGUAUAGUCAGCGACUGGGGUGAAGUCGUAACAAGGUAACCG